UUAGGUAAAGGGGAGAAGGUCGUUCUCUUAAACUGGAACCCAGUUGACAUAUUAGAUGUCUUAUAAUGAAUAACAGUUCCUUUAUGGUCAUUAAUAUUACACUUCAACUGAAGUCAUAGCACAGAGAUGGCUAUGACAAUGUAUCUUGAGGGCUUUAAACACCCAGCAGAGAAGAAUUUGAACUGUGAAAGUCUUCCCUUCUGCUCAGUGUAAUGAAAACUCUCUGGAGUAGGACUCAGGAGAUCUCAGUAACAUUGAGAAAUUCAUUGAAAUUCUCUGAGUUUCCAUUUCUUUUCUGCAAAAUGGGGCUAAUACUGCCCCCUGACCCCUGAGCUAAUAGCUCACUGCAGUCAAAGAAAUAACACACCUGAAAAAACAUCGAAGGCAAAGAUAGAUGUUAAGAACACAGACUCUGCAGUUAUCCAACCUCUGUGGCUUUCCUGGUUCCUCCUGGUGGAUGUGAGAGUUGAACUAUAAAGAAAGCUGAGCACUGAAGAAUUGAUGCUUUUUAACUGUGGUGUUGGAGAAGACUCUUGAGAGUCCCUUGGACUGCAAGGAGAUCCAACCAGUCCAUUCUAAAGGAGAUCAGUCCUGGGUGUUCAUUGGAAGGACUGAUGUUGAAGCUGAAACUCCAAUACUUUGGCCACCUGAUGCGAAGAGCUGACUCAUUGGAAAAGACCCUGAUGCUGGGAAAGAUUGAGGGCAGGAGGCGAAGGGGCGGCAGAGGAUGAGAUGGUUGGCUGGCAUCAUCGACUCAACAGACAUGGGUUUGGGUGGACUCUGGGAUUUGGUGAUGGACAGGGAGGCCUGGUGUGCUGCGGUUCAUGGGGUCCCAAAGAGUCAGACACGACGGAGUGACUGAACUGAACUGAACUCAAAUGUGAUAAUCCUUCAAAGAAGCUCUAAAUAUUUUUUUCUGAUUCCUUAAGCAUUUCUUUCAUUCAGUAGUUGCUUUUCUUCCUCUUGUGAGGAUGCUGUCUUCUUACCAAGACACAGUGACACUGUCUCUGAGAGAGAAAUAGGGGCCUCAAUACUAGAAUCAAGGCUGCAGAAAAGGGUUGAGAACAUGAGAUCCAGCUUGUGGUUUGAUUGGAAACAAGUGGUCAGGAGCCCUGGGGCCAUUCUGCAGGCCCCAGUGUGAACCACAUUAGCUCCUGACUGCUCUGGAUCCCAGAACAAACCCAAAGAUUAAAGGGCAAC
ensembl:lncRNA